rnacentral:tRNA from 1 species
UACCUACCAAUAGCCCCAAUAAAAUUAUAUUACGUCACGUUCCACACAACCUUAACAUCACAUGACACUAACUCUUU